rnacentral:lncRNA from 1 species
GUAGAAAUCGGCUGAUUAUGUACUGUUAAGGUUGGAAAUGGAGAAAUAUACACCGGAAAGAACUACAGUACAACGAUGGGUCGCUCUGUACAGUCAGCAGGAGGCAUGAAGAGGAGGGAAGGAAAACCUGAAGGACUGGGAUACGAGAAACGAAGACGAGUAGAGGUUCUGGAGAAGUAUUGUACAUAAAUACAGCACAAUACCUGGUAUUUGAUAUAUCCUGUGUCUAUGUAAACACAAGAAUUAGCGUCGAAUUUUAAUCUUUUUCGAUCCACUCUACACUAUUUACAUACUCAAAAUAAUUAACAUUAUUAUCCUAAUUUUGGGAAAACUCUGAAAUCAUGCAAUCUAAAAUUCCUCUAAAAAUAUUGACGAUGAAAUUAAUUUUCACGCUGAAUACCUGUUUAUUUGACAUGAGCCAUGACAUGAGCCAUAUAUAUUGUAGAGCUUCCUAGAUUCUAUACCCUAGAAGUUAAGGUUUCAAUAUUCAAUUUGUGUAAAAUAUUAUAAAAUUAUGUAAAAAAAAACAUAUA